UCCAGACUCCUACGGGAGGCAGCAGUGGGGGAUAUUGCACAAUGGGGGGAACCCUGAUGCAGCGACGCCGCGUGAACGAAGAAAUAUUUCGGUAUGUAAAGUUCUAUCAGCAGGGAAGAAAAUGACAGUACCUGACCAAGAAGCCCCGGCUAACUACGUGCCAGCAGCCGCGGUAAUACGUAGGGGGCGAGCGUUAUCCGGAUUCACUGGGCGUAAAGGGAGCGUAGACGGCUGGUCAAGUCUGAAGUGAAAGCCCGGGGCUUAACCCCGGAACGGCUUUGGAAACUGAGCAGCUAGAGUGCUGGAGAGGUAAGCGGAAUUCCUAGUGUAGCGGUGAAAUGCGUAGAUAUUAGGAGGAACACCAGUGGCGAAGGCGGCUUACUGGACAGUAACUGACGUUGAGGCUCGAAAGCGUGGGGAGCAAACAGGAUUAGAUACCCUUGUA
rnacentral:rRNA from 1 species